rnacentral:rRNA from 1 species
CCUACGGGUGGCAGCAGUGAGGAAUAUUGGUCAAUGGGCGCGAGCCUGAACCAGCCAAGUCGCGUGAGGGAAGACGGUCCUAUGGAUUGUAAACCUCUUUUGUCGGGGAGCAAACGCCGCCACGCGUGGCGUUCCGAGCGUUCCCGAAGAAAAAGCAUCGGAUAACCCCGUGCCAGCCGCCCCGGUAAUACGGAGGAAGCGAGCGUUACCCGGUGUUAUUGGGUUUAAAGGGUGCGCAGGCGGAAGUUCAAGUCAGCGGUAAAAUUGAGGGGCUCAACCCCGUCGAGCCGUUGAAACUGGUGGGCUGGAGUGAGCGAGAAGUAGGCGGAAUGCGUGGUGUAGCGGUGAAAUGCAUAGAUAUCACGCAGAACUCCGAUUGCGAAGGCAGCAUACCGGCGCUCAACUGACGCUGAUGCACGAAAGUGUGGGUAUCGAACAGGAUUAGAUACCCGGGUAGUC